GAUGAAGAACGCAGCGAAAUGCGAUAAGUAAUGUGAAUUGCAGAAUUCAGUGAAUCAUCGAAUUUUUGAACGCACCUUGCGCCCCUUGGUAUUCCGAGGAGCAUGCCUGUUUGAGUGUCAGUAAAUUCUCAAACCCUUCCAGCUUUUUGUAGUUGGCUCUGGGUCUUGGAUGUGGAGGUGUUGCAGGCCUUUUUGAGGUCAGCUCCCCUGAAAUGCAUUAGCAGAACCGUUUGCAAUCCAUCACAGGUGUGAUAAUUAUCUACGCCAGUGGGUUGCUCUCUGUCACUGUUCAGCUUACAAUUGUCCCAUUCUUGUGGACCAACUAUUGCUGAUUCUUUGACCUCAAAUCAGGUAGGACUACCCGCUGAACUUAAGCAUAUCAAUAAGCGGAGGA
rnacentral:misc_RNA from 1 species